ensembl:lncRNA
AGAAGAUUCAUCUCACGUAGAAAGAGAUUCACCUAAGCAAGAACAAAGCCCGAGGCCCCAGGAAGGACCACUCCGGUACCCACCCCUGGGUCCCCGGCAGAGUGCCCCUCCCACCGGAGCCUUGGGGAGCUCCUGCAGCGAUACCAGGGCCUCCUGGGGGGGUAAACUGGACCACCUGGCCAUCGCCCUUCAGAACACCACCUGUCUCCACCGCUCAACUUCCUCGUCAUAAACAUGUGUGUAAAUGACCUCAUCGAGGGUCAGUCAGGAGCGACCACUUCACUCCCCAGGAGAGAAAGAAGAGGAAAAUUAAUUUAAUUGUUGGAGGACUGAAGUGCGUGGAAGUUGUUUGUGUGCACUGUGUUGUUGGAC